GUAAAGGUAGUUUAACAAAAACAUUAGAUUGUGAUUCUAAAUAUAGAGGUUUGAACCCUCUCAUUCACC
ensembl:Mt_tRNA